AGAGAGCGGACUGGCAUGGCCUUUUUAUGUGCACACUCUUCUUGCAUGCUUGUUGUUCGGCUUGCUAGGCCGGAGGCGCAGCGAGAGCCAUGGAAACCCUAUCUUCUCUGAACCACCGGAAAUUCAUUACCACUUCCGUCGAAUUCGAUCGCUCGCUCUCCACUCUCUCUGUAUCUUGCUCGCCAUGCCGGUUCUAACCACCAUCUCAUCUGUCGGCCCUCUCCUUCGGCUUCUCCCUGCUCCUUCUGCCCGCAGCAGGAGCCUCCGGUUUCGAUGUAGGGCCAGCUCCGACAGUGACCAGACUGCCGUCCGAUUGCAGGAGUAUUUGGUGGAUGCACCAGAGUCGGUCGGUGAUGGGUUCUCCUUCAGCGGAGGGAAAUACUCGGACGGGCCGAAUCGAGCUGAUGAAUGGCUCGCUCUAGGGAAAACGGUAAAAGCUCAUCCUGUAUAUGGAGGAAAGGGCAAAGCAAAGGAUCCAAUUUUUGGUCUUACACUGGGUGCUGGUUCACAGUCCUCAGCAGAUGUGUUCAGAUGGUUUUGUGUGGAAGCAGGAAGCUCCUUGAACUCUCCAAUUAUUUUAGUUCACGGCUUUCCAUCUCAGGCAUAUUCAUACCGGAAAGUUAUUACCAUGCUAUCAGAAAAUUAUCGUGCCAUUGCUUUCGACUGGCUUGGUUUUGGAUUUUCUGACAAGCCUCAGCCUAGAUAUGGAUUUGACUAUACUUUAGACGAAUAUGUGUUAGCUUUUGAAUCCCUAGUAAAUGUCCUUGUUCCAGGUAAAGUUUCUCUAGUUGUUCAGGGCUACUUUUGUCCUGUGGUUCUUAAAUAUGCUAGCUGUCACCAAGAAAAAUUAUCAGAGCUUAUACUCGUAAAUCCCCCUCUGAUGGAGAAGCAUGCAAAGCUGCCUUCGUCUUUGGCACUAUUCAGCAACUUUUUAUUGGGUGAAAUUUUCUCCCAGGAUCCUCUCAGAGCUAGUGAUAAAGCAUUGACGAGUUGUGGACCAUACAUGAUGAAAGAAGAAGAUGCUAUGGUUUACAGAAGGCCAUACCUCACUUCUGGUUCUUCUGGUUUUGCUUUAAAUGCAAUAAGCAAAGCAAUGAAAAGGGACUUGAAGGGUGGAGCUCCCCCUUUGAUGCUGUGCCAACUAUUCCUCCAGACGAUUCAUUGAAUCUGCAGAGAAUACUUGGUACUAAUUGAUCAGAGUCCAAGCUUUGAGGAGUUUUGCAGAGAUCCAGGGGAAGGAGGAGAAGGGCGAUGGUGGUGGCAUAGGAUGGAAUGAGAGAGAGAGAAGUGGUUAAACUCACUUUGGUUGUUGCCUCCAUUGAUUUUGGUACACUACUGUGCUACACUCUGGCAUGUUAUUAAAAAGGAACAUAACUGUUAAGUUUGGCUUGGUUUCCAACACCAAGUGCAGUCAUGCCUCACCCUCCUGCAUCCCAUGUUGCCCUGCUCUGAACCAGUGCCCUGCAUGCUGCCUGUCACAUUAAGGUCCACUGCCACCCUGAUCAAGUAAAGUAGCCUGUGGCCUGAGGCGAGCCUGCAUGUGCUCCUUCUCGAAGACCACUGAGAUUGCCAUGGGGAGAAGAGCGGUUAGGGAUGCAGCGAAGGGAAGUGUUGACGUUUUAUGGAGCAGAAACACAAUGAUGGAGGGAGGUUGGUGUUUCAUGUAGUUCUUGUUGGCAGAAAAGUGGAGAGACAAGGGAGCAGCUUGAAGGGCAGGGGUGCACAUUGCCUUUUCAACUGGGGCCUGAUGUUGACAACAAAAAGAGGAUGCAUUAGAAAUGACAAUAAAAUAAAUCUUCAAUUGUGCUAUUAAUUGUCUGAUUUCAUUUGCUGGUGAACGACACCAAUCUGCACCAUGAAUCUCUUGUAGGGAGCACCUGAGCUCUCCAACUUUGAACGAGGGUUAUUAACAUUUAGGCUGCGUUUAGUAGGAGGUAAUCCGUCUUGUAAUGUAAUCAAGAUUACAUUACAAUAUUGAUUACUUUGUUUAGUACAGUUGUAAUGUAAUGUAAUCUAGAUUACAAAAGGUAAUAAAGUUUUGUAAUCUGGAUUACAAGGCCAACACCAUAUAAUCCGAUUACAUUAUAAGGUCACCGUUUAAUUAAAAUUUAAAUGUCAAAUAUACCUCUAGUCCAUUUUCGGCAUCAAUUGGUCACUGAUGUUGCUUCCCGUUGCCGAUUGCCGGCCACUGCCACCCACCCUGCCGACCUUCGCGCGGGCAGUUGUCGGUCGCCUCGCCAGCCGCCACGCCACCUCCGGCUGCCACCGACCGCCACCGUCGUGUCCGGUAGAGGUCAGGAUAUUUUUGUUAUUUUAUAAUAAUACGAAUUACAGUCCUUAUAAAAAAUAAUGGACACCAAAUAAAAGAAUAUAAUCACCCUUGUAAUUAAAUAUCACAUACAUUACAUUACAAAGUUUUUACAUUACAAGCUUGAUUACAUUACCUCCUAACCAAACGUAGCAUUUGUCAAAUCAAACAACUUUAGCUGUCAAUCAAUAAUAUCAUGCAAAAGCUCUAUCUAUGCACCUGGGUCACGGUAUUGUGAAGGAAAAAGAAGACAAUUUUAAACAGUUAGUCCUCUCCUAUGCCUGGAGCUAGCUGUGUAUUGUUCAUAAAUUUUUGUUCAACUGCAGCAACCAUGCUUCCAUAAUUUCAUGCCAUUACAAAUGACAUUUGCAGACUAGUUUCUGUCUUGCUUCCCUUGGAAUGUCAACUGGAUUUUGGCACAAACUCAUGUCUCAUAUAAUGCCAUAUCGAACAACUUGUAUUUUUUUGUAAAAAUCUUCAAUCUUUUUGUCCUUGACAAGGAUGUCUAGCCUUAGUCUAUGUGAUAAAUGCUUCAGUAAUGUUUGUAAUGCUUGACAAAUUGUUUUUUUUUCCUUGUUUCAUUUUUCCCUUUUAGUAAUUACUAAUGUUUGCAGCUUUUGGAUUUGUUCAAAUUCUGUGAUAUCCAAAAAAAUUU